UACAGAGGGGGCAAGCGUUGUUCGGAAUUACUGGGCGUAAAGGGCGCGUAGGCGGCCUGCUAAGUCGAACGUGAAAUCCCUGGGCUCAACCCAGGAACUGCGUCCGAUACUGGUUGGCUUGAAUCCGGGAGAGGGAUGCAGAAUUCCUGGUGUAGCGGUGAAAUGCGCAGAUAUCAGGAGGAACACCAAUUGCGAAGGCAGCUCGCUGGGACGUAACUGACGCUGAGACGCGAAAGCGUGGGGAGCAAACAGG
rnacentral:rRNA from 1 species